rnacentral:rRNA from 1 species
CUACGGGAUGCUCCAGUGGGGAAUAUUGGACAAUGGGCGCAAGCCUGAUCCAGCAAUGCCGCGUGAGUGAAGACGGCCUUAGGGUUGUAAAACUCUUUCGCUAGGGAAGAUAAUGACUGUACCUAGUAAAGAAGUCCCGGCUAACUCCGUGCCAGCAGCCGCGGUAAUACGGAGGGGACUAGCGUUGUUCGGAAUUACUGGGCGUACAGAGUUCGUUGGCGGACUGACAAGUUAGAGGUGAAAUCCCAGGGCUCAACCCUGGAACUGCCUUUAAAACUGUCAGUCUAGAGACCGGAAGAGGUUAGGGGAAUACCUAGUGUAGAGGUGAAAUUCGUAGAUAUUAGGUGGAACACCAGUGGCGAAGGCGCCUAACUGGUCCGGUACUGACGCUGAGGAACGAAAGCGUGGGGAGCAAACAGGAUUAGAUACCCUGGUAGUC